rnacentral:rRNA from 1 species
AUUGAACGCUGGCGGCAUGCUUUACACAUGCAAGUCGAACGGCAGCGCGGGCUUCGGCCUGGCGGCGAGUGGCGAACGGGUGAGUAAUGCAUCGGAACGUGCCCAGUAGUGGGGGAUAGCCCGGCGAAAGCCGGAUUAAUACCGCAUACGACCUGAGGGUGAAAGCGGGGGACCGAAAGGCCUCGCGCUAUUGGAGCGGCCGAUGUCGGAUUAGCUAGUUGGUGGGGUAAAGGCUUACCAAGGCGACGAUCCGUAGCUGGUCUGAGAGGACGACCAGCCACACUGGGACUGAGACACGGCCCAGACCCCUACGGGAGGCAGCAGUGGGGAAUUUUGGGCAAUGGGGGCAACCCUGAUCCAGCCAUGCCGCGUGCGGGAAGAAGGCCUUCGGGUUGUAAACCGCUUUUGUUCGGGAAGAAAUCCUCUGGGCUAAUACCCCGGGGGGAUGACGGUACCGGAAGAAUAAGCACCGGCUAACUACGUG